CCACCAAGUACAAUGCCUAGUUCUUUCUCCCUACCCUAUCGAACCGUUAAAUUGAAACUCGCCGUAACUGAAAGAGCUUCAAACCUCAAAAAAAUUUCUCUUUACCCUUGACCUCCCCCUCUUUGUGCGUUGCCUCUGUCUCUCUCUAGCCGCCCUCUCUCUCUUUAGCUGCAGCUCUCUACGUGGCUUCCCUCUCUCUCUAGCUGCCCACUCUCUCUGUGGCUUCCCUCUCUCUCUAGCUGCCCACUCUCUCUCUGCGUGCCUUCCCUCUCUCUAGCUGCCCUCUCUGCUAUCCCUAUGCUCCGCUUCUCUCUCUCUCUCUUCUGAGCAAUGGCGGUGGCCCUAUACUUGGUUUGAACAAGUGGUCUCCCUCUCUCUCUCCUCACAAACAUCAAAAACCAGAACGUUGAGAUGCAUUUCUUUGGCCAAAGAGCUCAGCAUAACUGCGUCUCUCUCUUUGAGAGACCUUUUCUAUUUUGCAGCAGGAGCCAUCUAUGUCUCUCUCUCUACCCCACGAAGCCCCCAAAUCUCUCUCUCUCUCUCUACCCCACGAAGCCCCCAAAUCUCUCUCUCUCUCUACACCGUUUAGCCCCCAAAUCUCUCCCUCUACCCCGUGGUUUACGCCGCAGCAGGGAGACAAAUCUUCUCCCAAACCCUCUUCUCUCCCUGUAUAGAAGAAGUUGGAUCCGCUGAUUUGAGGGCUAAAGAAACCCUAGGGUUAGCCAAGAAGAUCGAGAGGGUUUGAGCCGUCUUUAACUGCAAGAGAGAAGAGGAGCGUCCGCCCUGCAGAGAAGAGAGCCAGCAAAGAGGGAUAUUGGUCAAAAUAAAAUUAGGUCAGAGAAGAGAGCGAGCAACGAAAAGUGGGUUGUUGGUGAAAGUAAAUUUGGGUUUGAAGCUUUUGGGCCAUUCAUUUCUUGCGUAGUUGGAAUGUUUUGUUCGUGCAGUUAGAGGUUUUGUUCAAUCGCGGCUCAACAUUUUAUUAAAUACAAACAAACGGUGGAUACUAGAGAGGUGAAAUGACUGUUUAGUUUGGCC
rnacentral:lncRNA from 1 species